AGGGAUCAUUACCGAGUUUACAACUCCCAAACCCAAUGUGAACCAUACCAAACUGUUGCCUCGGCGGGGUCACGCCCCGGGUGCGUCGCAGCCCCGGAACCAGGCGCCCGCCGGAGGGACCAACCAAACUCUUUACUGUAGUCCCCUCGCGGACGUUAUUUCUUACAGCUCUGAGCAAAAAAUUCAAAAUGAAUCAAAACUUUCAACAACGGAUCUCUUGGUUCUGGCAUCGAUGAAGAACGCAGCGAAAUGCGAUAAGUAAUGUGAAUUGCAGAAUUCAGUGAAUCAUCGAAUCUUUGAACGCACAUUGCGCCCGCCAGUAUUCUGGCGGGCAUGCCUGUCCGAGCGUCAUUUCAACCCUCGAACCCCUCCGGGGGGUCGGCGUUGGGGAUCGGGAACCCCUCAGACGGGAUCCCGGCCCCGAAAUACAGUGGCGGUCUCGCCGCAGCCUCUCCUGCGCAGUAGUUUGCACAACUCGCACCGGGAGCGCGGCGCGUCCACGUCCGUAAAACACCCAACUUUCUGAAAUGUUGACCUCGGAUCAGGUAGGAAUACCCGCUGAACUUAA
rnacentral:rRNA from 1 species